GAGGGUGCAAGCGUUAAUCGGAAUUACUGGGCGUAAAGCGUGCGUAGACGGUUAUUUAAGUCGGGUGUGAAAGCCCCGGGCUCAACCUGGGAAUUGCAUUCGAGACUGAAUAGCUAGGGUGCGGAAGAGGGAAGCGGAAUUUCCGGUGUAGCGGUGAAAUGCGUAGAUAUCGGAAGGAACACCAGUGGCGAAAGCGGCUUCCUGGUCCAGCACCGACGUUCAGGCACGAAAGCGUGGGGAGCAAACAGGAUUAGAUACCCUGGUAGUCCACGCCAUAAACGAUGAGGACUAGACGUUGAGAGGGUAAGCCUCCCAGUGUCGCAGCUAACGCGAUAAGUCCUCCGCCUGGGGAGUACGGCCGCAAGGUUG
rnacentral:rRNA from 1 species